rnacentral:lncRNA from 1 species
CAGAGAGCUCUGAGCCCUCAGGCACUACGGAGCAAGCUCGUGGUCGCCGGGAGGGGGUACUCCUGCCGGUGUUUACUGCCCCAGCCGGGGACACGCGGCGGCGCGAGCCCGCAUGACUGGUCCGCUCGUCCCAAGAGGAGGCAGAGCGAAGACUCGAGGCGGUGCCCGUUAGGGACGCGCUGCCCGGGGCUUAUGGGCUUUUUCUUGGGGACUGUACCCGCCGGGCUGGGGAGCGGAAAGGCUCGGGGAUUUUGCACACUGCAAGGAACUGUUGGGUUUAAACUAAAAAUACCCGCCCGCCCGCAGCUGUCACUCCAGGGCCCCCGCCCCCGGCGCGCCUCCCCAGGUCCCCUUGACUUUCGGCGACUCCGAUCCCCAGGGGACGUGCCAGGGCUGGGCGGGGGACUGAGGACCCGACCCUCCCAGCCCCCGGCCCGGCCACCCAGCCCCGGCACCCAGCCCCGAGCCACUUACCCGGCCGGGAGCGUGCGGGAGCGCGGCGCCGCGGGCAGUGCUGGCCGAGCCGCCCUCCUCCUCCCUGCGUCCCGGGCGGCUCCGGAGCGGGGCGGGGCCGGGGCGGGGCCCGGACACUCGCCCCCGCCCCGCCCAGUCCCCUCCGGACCCGCCGCGGGAGCCGCCCCGGGCCCCGCCACCUCGGCGGGUGGGAGAAGGACGAUCCUGGCUCUGCCCUCUUGGCAAAGGGCCGAGGAGCCCGGCCUCAGCCCGGUGGGCACCCCAUCGCGGACCCCCUCCCCCGGGGCAGGGGGGGAGCGCUGUCGUGGGGGCUCCGCACCCUCACCCCUGUCACCCCUGGCCCCGGGCCCACAACUGCCCUCUCCGCUCAGUAGCUUCCCCGAGCCUCGGCACCCCCCCCGCGCCUGCCUCGGCCCGGGUCUCAUCCUCGGGGAUGGCACGGAGCUGCCUCUCCUCAGGGGGAAGUUGGAUCUGGGGAGUUCCUCUGUGUGUCCCGCCUUGGGGAGGGGGCUAGGGGCCUGGAGGGUCUUGCCCUCUCAGAGCCCAAGUGGGGACAAAAGAAGGGGCACCCUUCCCGGAGGCGCGAAAUCCAAGGAGGAAGUGACACCUAUCAGCCAGCCUGAGAGUGGAGGCGCCCCAUCCGGCCCCUCCCACCCCACAGUCCCCGGAGCCACCACGCAAGGCAUCUUCAGGCCCCAGGCUCGGAUGGGAGAUCCCCAGGAUGCCAAGCGGAGGACAUGGGGGCGGAGGGUUUGCAUGAUCGGUUCCGCCUCCUUUGGAUGGGUCUGGGAGCCUCAGGAAGGCUACAACUUGCAGAACUCUGUACCACGUGGACUCCGCUCUUCACAAUUUAGCUGUGGUUACGCCCAUUUUGCAGAUAAGGAGUGAAGUAGCUGCUCCAAAUCUCCAGCAACCCGGAGGGUGCUUUCCUCUUUGGUUCCUUAGUGAGGCUGGCAGUUUGAUGAAUAAAUCAGCAUAGAAAUUAGUGUCCAAAGAGAGAUUAAAUUAGGAGUGCCUGUUGUGGCGCAGUGGAAACGAAUCUGGCUAGUAUCCAAGAGGAUGGCCCUGGCCUUGCUCAUUGCAUGAACUGUGGUGUGGGCGGCAGACUCAGCUCCGAUCUCGCAUUGCUGUGGCUGUGGUGUAAACUGGCAGCCAUAGCUCCGAUUCAUAUUCAGCCCCCUAGCCUGGGAACUUCCCUAUGCAGCAGGUGCGGCCCUUAAAAAAAAAGAGACCAAAAAAAAAAUGAGAUAUUAAAUUGUAAAAUAGGACCACGUAGUAAUUGUCUGUGUGUGUGUGUGUGUGUGUGUGUGUUUUCCAUACUGGGAGCAAGGUAGAAGGAUACCAAAGCUUAGAAUUAACACUGUGGGUAGACCUAGCCUGGGUUAAAGAGCUCAGUGUCAGCCACACCUCCUAACUUGAACCAAUUUAGUAAGUUAUAAUUAUUCACAGAUGCAGAGGUGAUACACAAAAGGGCCUCUUUCAUCCUUGCCUUUUGAUUGUUCUAGGUGUCCAGUUAUAUUUCUCAUUAUCAUCCUGACUCUAGCAGGGGUACUGCUGCAGGCUUUGGGGUUACAACCGUUUAGCUGAGGGUACGUACGGACAGCCAUCAACAAUGACGAUAAUUCCGGGCAUUUGGAGAAUGCACUUUGCUUCUCCAAAUGUCUGCCUGAGUAUCUCCUCUUAAAUCUCUGCAGCGAUGCUCCAGGUAGUUAACAACAGUUUGAGUUCUCUUAUGACCGGAAAUUAAAACAGCAACAGGUCAGGUGGCUUGCAGGUCAGGUGACUUGCAGGAGCGUCACACCUGCUGGCCUGUCUCCUGAGAGGCUGGAGGCUCUCAAGUCAGUCUUCUGCAGUGAGAGAUGGUUUGUUUGGUGCAGUGGGGCGUGAAGAGCUCACGCUCAGGUGCCAAACUGCCCAAGCUUUUGACUUUCAGCUCAUCGCUCAUUUCCUCUUCUGUUAAAUGGGUCUAAUAACAGUGACAUCUCUUGAAUGGUUUUGUGCCUGGUAUUGUGAGCACCCAGCUCAUGUGAACUGUUCUGGGGCUAGUCGGCCUGGCUAAGAGCUCCCUUGCACACAGUCCUUCAGUCCUGUAUCACAGAUGUCCUGAGCACCUACUAUGUGCUAGAGCCCCCCCC